AUGGAUGCACAGCUUGUCUGCUGUGUAGCACUUUGCCUCCUGGGGGCAGGCUCUUUUGAUGCUGCCAUUAUUCAGAUGCCAAGACAUUUGAUCAAAAUGAAAGGGCAGCAAGUAGAGAUGAACUGUAACCCUGAAAAGGAUCACACUGCUGUUUUCUGGUAUCAGCAAAAACAGAGCAAAGAGUUAAAGUUCCUGAUUUACUUUCAGAAUCAACGGCCUGUCGAUCAAAUAGACAUGGUCAAGGAGAGAUUCUCAGCUGAGUGGCCCUCGAACUCACGCUGUAGCCUGAAAAUCAGUACUUCUGAAGUAGAAGACUCCGCACUGUACCUGUGCUCCAGCAGUCAAUCCACAGCACUGAAAUUCACAGAAAGCAGUAAUAUAGUAGUGAAGUCUGCAAAAGAUCACGUCACAGGAAGGCUGCAGAUAACACACGAAAACACUGCCUCCUCUGCUGCCCUGGUGUGA